AUUAGUUUACUAUUGGAGCGGUUAGUGGCGGACUGGUGAGUAACACGUAAGCAACCUGCCUAUCAGAGGGGAACAACAGUUAGAAAUGACUGCUAAUACCGCAUAUGCCUAAGUACCACAUGGUACAAUAGGGAAAGGAGUAAUCCGCUGAUAGAUGGGCUUGCGUCUGAUUAGAUAGUUGGUGGGGUAACGGCCUACCAAGUCGACGAUCAGUAGCCGGACUGAGAGGUUGAACGGCCACAUUGGGACUGAGAUACGGCCCAGACUCC
rnacentral:rRNA from 1 species